AAAAGUUUGCCGGCUUCCGCAGUGAUGGAUCACCGUUUCAGUGGCAUUUAAAUCCCCGGCGCUCCGCCGUCUAGGUGACGCGCAGUCGCCCCCCCAGGCAGCCUAGGCGGCGGCAGCUGCUGCGGCGACUGCAAAGGCCGAUUUGGAGUGCUGGAACGAAGAAGAGCAAAAGCUGCCUUCUGCGCGCGCCCGACUCCGCUGCCCGCCCCGCCAGGCCUCCGGGAGGUGGGGGCUGGGAGGCGUCCCCCGCUCCCGCCCCCUCCCCACCGUGCAAUGAAAGAUGAACUGGCGAGAGGUCUGUUUUGCCUGAACCCAUCAACAGCUGGGAGAUUAAUCAACCACACUGAAAAUGUGGAGGGAUUUAUGGGGGAGGGGGUUGAAAUGUGGAUGUUUGAAACAAAAGUGUAUAAACAAAUGAAUUGUUGAUAACUUAGUUAUUGACCUGGAGACUGGUAGCUUAUUAAAGAAACUCCGUGUUACUCAUUCCUGGAGUUGGGGGUUUCUGUAGGCACUUUAUUUCUCCACUUUCAAGAGCUUGGGCUUGGCCCAAAUCUUAGACUGUCCAAUUCUGUCUCUAUUACCAAUUUAAAUCUAUGGCUUGAACCUGUGCACUGAAAAUCAAAUCCUUUAAAAAGAAAGAGGAGAAGAAGAAGCAAAAAAGAAAAAAAAAAA
rnacentral:antisense_RNA from 1 species